rnacentral:lncRNA from 1 species
AAAAAAUAUUCACUAAGAACAAAUAAUAAAUUAUUAGGAUUUUUGGACAUGCUUUGUUAACAUUAUGGUAACAUGGAAGGAAAAAAGAUUUAGUAGGAUGGUAGGAAAAUGAGAAUUAUAACUUGGUUUUCCACUGGAAAGCUUCCAUGGAUGUUAAAGGUUCUUGUGGAGCUGUAGCUGCUGCUAGAGAAGUGUAUUGUGCUGGAGGACAGCAGGUGGCAGCAGUGAAGCGCUGGUGUCUGUCCUCAUCCACCCACCGCCUCUGAUGGAUGUCAGGCACUGCACAAACAUUCAUGAUGGAAAAUGAUUCGGGUUUCCUGAUGUAUAAACGCUGCGGCUCCAUCAGAGACGCUUCUGAGGCAGAAGCUCUUUCUGGUGCGGUGGGCUCCUCUGUUCCUUCGUCCUUUGAGACGUGAGAAGAACAGCUCGUCCUCCAAAGGUGAGCGAGGCUGUGGGAACAAUGGCUCUGGAAGGAAAAACAGGGAGGAUCCGGAUAUCCCAUCCCAUUAACUACACCCUCUUCCUGAAGAGCUUUCCAGCAGCAUCCAGGAAGAGGAUGAGGAGGUCCCUCACGCCUGAUGCUCUGGUUAUUUAUGAGCUAUAUUCAUCCUUGAACGAGUUCAAUCUCUUCACACGUUCCAUCUGCGUGCAUCAAUUCUCCAGCCGCUGAAACAAAGCUUGUUUGUUUAACGAGGAGAGGUGAAUAUAUUUACACACUUAAACAUUUGAGCCGCUCAUGCAGCUCUCAAAUCAUGAAGAACACAGUACUGGACGCA